CAGAGUGUUUUGUCAGAGAUCUGGAGGAAAGGGAGAAGUCAAGUCAGAUAUGGGAUAGGGAAUUUUAUUCCCCCAAGAAGCCAGUACCAACUGGAACCAGACACUCAACCUCAAAAAACGAGGACAACUGUCCCCUCCCUGGGUUGGCAGUCUGACACCUUAAUAGCAUGAGCUCAACUCUAAAACUGACAUACCUACUAAGUUUCUUGGGACUUGUAUGACAUCUUCAGCAAAUUCAAGAAAGGAAAUCUUCAACAUGGCUUAAGCCUCCACCAAGAGACAUGAAUGCUUACAGACAGGACAGGAACACUGAUGAAGAGCAAUACCCAGAUGCAACUGCUCUUGCUGUGAUGUCCAAUGAAGCAUGAAGACUAUGUGUGGAUGCCACAUCUCUCUAAUGUCUAUCACUGUCUUCCCCUGUUCCUCUAUCAGAUGACCCAGAGGAAAAUGCACCUAGUCCCAAAGCUGAUAUAAAGUUAAAUGUUGAGUGUACCUGCACAACAGCAAGCACUGUUGAGAAUUAUAUGAAUUGGUAUGAAUCAAUUCCUGUCGUACUUAGUUUAAAAGAAUUAGUCAUGGGAACAAAUUCAAUUAAAAAUGAAGUUUUGCCACAGCAUAAACAAGCAGCUCCGGCUAAGUUAUGAUAGUUUGAUUUUUUUUUUCCCCAGUAUUACAGAACUUGUAAAGAGAAAAAUGCUUGACAAAAUAUUUUAGCUGGGACCACAAAACCUCUGCCCAAGCACAGAAUGGCAGGGUUUCUUAAAAUGCAUGUCAGCUUAAACACAGCGGUAUGAUAUACAGGGUACAUGUACUGAUGUACUAAUAUAUUUUAAAAAAUGUAUAGUUUAAGUCCAGUUCCAAAUUUCAGUGGCAGUCGGGCCAUGGAGGAUAGAAACUGAUGCAUUCUAGUGCAAGGAACUAAUAAAAUCCAGUCCCAUUGAAAACAGAGUAGGUAGGCUUUGCAAGAACAGUGUAGAGAGAGUUUCCACACUGUUCACAGAUCAAUAAGUUGCAGGGAUGGAUUGGGAAAACUGGAAUAUAAAGAUGCAGAGAUAUGUAUAUUUCAGGCUCAUACGUGAAUGGGUAAGGAGGGAUGGAAGACUAGCUUUAGCAAAUAUGCAUGACAGAUAGUAGAGUAUGAAAUAUACUAAAGGUAGAGGGAGACUAAGAUGAGGGAAAACAGGGAGAAGAUAAAAGUAGAUAUAACACCAAGAAUGAUGUUUAGAAAGAAGUUAGGGGAGGGAGGAACAGAGCAUGAGAAAAACAUUUAGUUCAUUAUUAGUGGCCGUAUCAAUUUUUUUCCCAGAAACUCACAAGCAGAAAGGAUUGCCCUUACUGCUAAUAGAGCCAUAGAGCACAAAACAGAAAGUGCAUAAUAACUAACUAAAGUCGUUCACUCUCCCCUACAUGAAAAACUUAAUGUGGUGCACUUUCAUCAUGGCAACUGAAUAACAUUAAAUCCCUGUGCUUCACAUUAGUAACAUACACAAAAUAAAUAAAUAAAACCUGUCCCUGCAACUUAUUGUGAUGUUACUGGAGGUCUCAAGUAUGU